rnacentral:lncRNA from 1 species
GGUGUGUACCAUGUGGGAACCGUGUUCCCAUAAUCUUGAUUCUGUCCGGUUCCAUCCAAAGUGCAUAAAGAAACCUAGUUCCCACGCUGGAAACUGAUAACAGUGCUCGGUAUUUUAUGUUUAUUACCAGUUAUUGUUAAUUUAUUGCGUGACUUUCAUGGGAGUUGCAUAAAUAUGUCUUGAUCCCUUUUCUUGUUCUUUGAUUUACCUGGACCAUAUUCUGAAAAUAUUGUAAUCGUCGCUCGGUAAGGUUAUGGAUUGCUGGUUCAAGAGGUUUGCAAUAUCUAUUUUCACUCGUAUCACUUGGUGCUGGAUUCAUAUGUUUUUCUUCUGUAAUAAAAAGUUACGUAUGUGUAUUAAUACUGGUACCGAGGGGGCACUGCGCACUUACAAAAUUUUUACAAGUCCGCUGGAUUAAAAUAAUGUGACGUGCUUUGUUCCUCUCGGCGCUCUUUGCUUGUAUUUGAGCAAUCAUUUGUUAGAAGCAGCAGGCCAGAUCUGAAAAUAUGGCAAGUUUUUAGAAAUUGAUGCUGCGCCUUUUAGUUGCCAACACGUUCUUAUGUUGGUUUUCAGGUAAUUCUCUUUUGUUUCACUCCCUUUUAUUCGUCUUUAAGAUCUCGGAAUGGAAGUCCUCAGCUUCCUUGUCCCCCACAUCUUUGAGUCUCAUCUUAAAGCUGAAGGUCAUUAUUUUUGGCCUGUCCAGCAGUUUUGUUGUGGUUGAGAGAAAGGUUUAAAGGAUGCAUGAGAUGCUUGCCUCGUACAAGGGUGUCUAUUAUGUGGGAACCGUGUUCCCAAAAUCUUGAUUCCGUCUGGUCCAUAGUCCCUGCAAAGUCAUUCCAUCCAAAGUGCAUAAAGAAACAUAGUUCCCACGUUGGAAACUAAUAAUGUUGUUCCGUACGACGUUUGUUACCAGUUUAUUUUUUGUUUGAUGUUCGCGGGAGUUGUAUCAGUAUGUCUUGAUCCCUUUUCUUGUUUUUUGAUUUACAGGG